rnacentral:ribozyme from 1 species
UUUUUUUUUUUUUUUUUUUUUUUUUUUG